GCGGAAGUAGCUCAGUUGGCAGAGCACCUGGUUGUGGCCCAGGUGGCCGAGGGUUCAAGUCCCUUCUUUCGCCCCA
rnacentral:tRNA from 3 species